UUUACAAGUAGUCUAUUGUUGGGAGAGCCAACUAAGUCUCUCACGAUGGGGAAAAAAUUAUAGCCGUGGAAAGUUCUGUUUCUUGGGAUAAGUGUUGGACUAUCAUAGACCUAUCCACACUAGAUUUCUUUUAAAAUAAAGAGAUCCCCUUCAGUCGAAGGUUCGAUCUGUUUCCUUCUUCUCGCCGGCAUCGUCACACUCCUUCUCCUCGGCACCAUCACACUCAUCCUCACCGGCGUCGCCGUAGUCUGGUUCUACAAUGGUUUCUAUGUCCUCGACAACAACUUGCAGAUCUGGAUUAACCUUUGCCGCCCUCUUCCAACCACUGUAUGUGUGUGGUUUUUUUUUCUUCUCAGAUCUAGUUGUUGAUAUAUGUUUUCUCCGAUCUGUUCUUGCGUGAGUUUUUGAAUUGUUAGGGAAGCAACUGUGACAAAGAGAGAUUGGUGGUAUGAAUUUGAACAACCACUAUUAGAGCGUUAGUUUCGUGAUGGUAUAAAUGGCGGCGGAGUACGUCUUCGACGACGGAAGUCAUUGUCGGUGAGACGUGUGCAGUGACAUCACUAUCUGUGGUGGUUGGGUGAGUUGCCGGGAACAGACAGAGGUUGUUCAAUCUCGAGGCGGUGGAGAAGAAACAGAGACCGGAAGAGGGUUUGCAACCAAUUCCUAGCAAAAGAUACAACAUCAGUAACAAGCACGAACACGCAACAGAAAAAAGGACCUAAGGGAAGUGAACCGACAAGGCAGCAUAGGAAGGUUGAAAGGUGUUUGUUGAGUUUGCAGCAACGGUUGCACAAGAUCAAGGAGGUUCAGUGGUAAAACUUUCCUCCAUUGUGAGAGUUAGUAGAUGUUUUCCUACAGAAAACUGAGUCACGGGAAUGAAGAUGCAUCUCCGAUUGCCUUGCCCUCUAAUAUUUUUUUUAUGCUUUUAGCAUGGAUGCUAUGCUAUGUGUGUUAAAGGCAUUCGAGAGUGGUUUGCAUGUCUCAGGCCUCAGGGGGGCAAGUAGUGAAAGUGGUUCCUCCUGCUAUUACUCGUUUCAAGUUAGGAACGGCGAAGAAUCUUAUUUGAGUCUAUCAGACAUCAAGAGAAGAAUAUUUUGCAAUUUGCAAAGAGCAUCUUUGUCUGGCCAAGAAAGAAUGAAAGAUGGGAUGACUAGAACUAGAAGCAAAAGUUUGGGUAUAUUAUAUCCUAAAAGAGCUCGCUGUUGAUUUGUUUGUAGACUGCCGCCUAUUAAUUGAGGGCUUGUUAUCUUCCGGUUAGGAUUUUGCGACUUAUCGACACAAACACUCUCGAUGCCUUUUUUUUUUAGUAGUUCAAUUUGUUUGCUCAUUGCCAGUUUAACUUUUGAUCCCAGUUUUCAUUACGUAAAGUUAUUAGUUAACGUCUCACAUCGUAAUUAUACCCACUGAAUUAUCUGUUCCUAUGGCAUGAUCUUCACUUUAUGCAAUGGAUCAGAGUGCAACUAAGCUGAUAUAACAUGGAGAAAGGGGGGAGGCAGUAAUUUCACUACUGGGAAGAGUGGAUCAGCCACAUAUUAUGUAAUUUUAUGCGAACGGCAGCGAGGGAAAAUUUGGAUACUUACAGAUAAGGUAUUUCACUAACCAGGGUACGAAUUUGAGAGUUGCAUGUGUCAAGAUAUAGGGUUCAUUGGCUCUCACUUUGGACAGUCUUGUUGUAUAACUGCUAUAAAAAGUUAACUCGUGACUUCAGGAAAUCAAUUGUGUAAAGUAUUAGUUGAAGUGCAAGCAAUCUCUUCAUACAUGAGUCAAGUAAUAACAUCCUGUGAACAUUAUUAGCAGGGCAAAUGGCCAAAGCUACAAAAAGAAACAGCAAAA